CAUGUAGGCGGACUAUUAAGUCUGGUGUGAAAGCCCUGGGCUCAACCCAGGAAGUGCAUUGGAUACUGAUAGUCUUGAGUAUGGGAGAGGAAAGUGGAAUUCCGAGUGUAGGAGUGAAAUCCGUAGAUAUUCGGAGGAACACCAGUGGCGAAGGCGGCUUUCUGGACCAAUACUGACGCUGAGAUGCGAAAGCGUGGGGAGCGAACAGGAUUAGAUACCCUGGUAGUCC
rnacentral:rRNA from 1 species